rnacentral:lncRNA from 1 species
AAACUCUGGGGGGAUGCACCCACAGGUACCUGCCCCUGGCCAUCUCCCAUGCUCUGGCCUCUAUAUGGCCUCCCCGAGACAUUCCUGGGCCUACUUAGUCCACACUGAGGCCUCUGAGCCGGAAGCCCUUUUGGUUAGAAAGUCGCCUUGUCACCUCCUCCUGGGCCCCUCCUGCUCUGCCUGACCCCUGUCCAGUGAAGUCAUCUCCAAGGGCCCCAGCUGUCACAGAGGGGCCAGAGAAGCCCCCUCGGACGUUUCGUGGCUGACAGGCAUUUUGUGCCGAUUGAGAGGGCAAACGAGCUGUUCUCGAACCUCUGACUCCGACCAGGCUUUGAGCUGUUGUGACGUUUUUCUUUGGUUUCAGCUUUUAGAAAAGAGACAAAAUAGCACUCAUUUAACAAACCCUCUCCACAGGUCAUCUGGGCCCGGCCCUCUGCUGACCUGGCCCGUGUCCUUCCUCGGGAACCCUUUCCCUCCACCCCACUGGUGGAGACACAGAUGUAUGCAGGGGUCAGGCAGCCAGGGUGACAGGGAACGCAGGAGCUGAGGGCACCAGAGGAGGCCCUGACCCAGUUUGGGUCUGCCUUGUGGAGGACGUGCUGGAGCAGAAAGGGCAAAGCUGGGAAUUUACAGGAAGCCGGGGGCACCCUCCAUGGAAUGGCAGCUUUGAAUGGAACCAUGGCCUGGGGUGUUCAAGAUGGAGUGAGGGGGCCUGCUGAGAGGUGACAGUGGGCAGGGGGUUCAGGUCUCAGGGCUGAGAGUGGCAGGCUAAGAGCUCAUCAUUAUGCCCAAGGCCCCUAGGAAGCCCCUGCAGGGCCUGCAGCAGUGUGGACUGUCCAGGAAGAAGGCCUUUCUGGGGGUGUGGAGGGCCUAGGCCGAGGAGGUGAGGUCCCCGGUUUGCGUCCAGGCCACAGCCUCCUUCAGCAGCAACCACAGCCAGCCAAGGCCCAGACUGAGGUCCUGCAGACCAGCCCACAGCCCUGGGCUGGGCAGAGGGCGCAGCCACUGUGGCCGCCACUGGGCAGGGGGUUCGGGAGGCAGGUCUGACUCAUCAGUGUCCCCAAGGCCCAGCCCAGGGCUGGGGCAGAGCAGGCGCCAGGCACAUCGCGCUGUGGAGUGAAAGAAGCUUUACAAACGCUUCCAGCAGACCAGCUUGAGAUAUUUCUUCCUGCCCGCACUUCCUCAGACCUGGGAAUAAGGAAGUGCGAGGCUCAGCGAACCCCGAAGACGCAGGCACAGCUGUAAGGGGUUUGCAAAAGUCCUUCCCGGGCCUUGUUGUCUCAGUGUCCCCAGCGAUUCGUGACACUGGGAGAUAAUGACAGAUGUCAUCCUCUUGACUGUUGCCUGGCUCACGCCAUACCAUCUCUGACCUUGACUAUGCCAAUGGCUACCUCAAUGGCCUCUUGACUUUAAAUAAUGCCUUUGGGUACAUGUGGCUAAGUAGCCACCACUGCGCUCCACCCGAGAUGAAGACAGAGCCGUGCCGCCUGACCUACGGCCUGCCAGAGCCAGGAGCCG